rnacentral:lncRNA from 1 species
UUGAGUAAAUGCCUAUUUUUCCUCUCGGCUACCCCAUUUUGUUGGGGUGUGUUAACACAUGAUGAGUCAUGGAGAAUGCCUUGUGAUUGAAAAUAGGGUGACAAAAUCUGGUUGAAGUAAUCUUUAGCAUUGUCUAUCCUAAAGUUUUUUAUUUUAACCCCAAAUUGGUUUUGAACCAUUGAGUGGAAAUUAUGUAUAACAAUGCUAACAUCAAAUUUUUGUUUAAGAAGAAAGAUCCAUGUAACUCGAGUGCAAUCAUCAAUUAAGGAUAUAAACCAACGAGCCCUAGAAACAUUAGGUAUAGUCGAAGGACCCCAUAUGUCACUAUGAAUAAAAUGAAAAGGAUGAAAACUUCUUUUAUUGCUAAUAGGAAAAGAUACAUGAGUAUGUUUUGUCAAUUCACAAGUUUCACAAUGAAACUCAUAAAUAUCUAAUCCUUGGAACAAACGAGGAAACAUAACCUUUAAAACCCUAAAAGAUGGAUGACCUAAACGUAGGUGAUACAACCAAAUGGUAUCUUUAUUUGAGGAAUUGAGAAAAGACAACGACAAAUUAUUACAAGUUUUCUGAGAUGAUUCAAGGUAGUAAAGACCACUCCUUUCCUUAGCAAGUCUAAUCCUCCUCCUCGAGCCUUGUUCAUGAAAAACACAAUAAGAAGGGAAAAAAAUAGCAUAAUAUUUAAGAUCAUGGGUAAGUUUUUGAAUGGAAACAAGGUUGGCCGACAAUUUUGGUACAUGGAGGACAUUUUUAAAAAUAAGGGUAGGUAUGAUGUAUAUGUCUCUAAAACCUGCAACGGUAGCUAAAAAGUCAUUGGCCACUGCAAUUUUCUUGUUUCUUGGGCUUAGGGUAUAGGUAUGGAAAAGUUGAGAUUUGGAGGUCAUAUGGUCUGUGGCAUCGGAGUUUAUUAUCCAAGAGUCAUCAUAAACCCUAUGUGAGACAUUUAUGCAAAAAGAGAAUGAAGGUGUACCUGAAAAAGCCAAAUAACAAGUUUCAAUAGGUUUGUCAAGGGAUCCCAACAAACUUCUCAACUUCUCCAUUUCUUCACUAUUGAACCCACCUGUUGCUGAAUUUUCCUCAGUUUUGGGUUGCUUUGCCAUGUGUGCUUGAGGCCUUUGUUGCUCUCCACGGUUUCCCUAUUCACGACUUAGUGGCUUACCAUUCAACUUCCAACACUUCUUUUUUGUGUGCCUUGGUUUCUUGCAAUAGGAGCACUAGAGAUUGUUCUUGUUAUCCUUCCACUGAUUGUCUUUACCUAAAUGUUUAGGCAAAUCAUUCUUUCCUUGCUCUGAAUAUUUUGUUUUUGCAAGUAGGGCUGAUCCAUCCAAGGUUUGUGGUUCAAGCAUAACACUCUUUCGGCUUUCCUCGCCUCGAAUCCGUGCCGCCACCUCAUUAAAGCACGGAACCUCCUGCUUGCCAAGUAUCUGGAUUCUCACUUGAUCAAAUUAUGGGUUAAGCCUAACAAGAAAAUAAUAAACUCUAUCUUGUUCAAUAAAAUCCUUUAGAACAGUGGCAUCCUCAGGACAUUUGGUUUUUAUCACCCUAUAAUGAUCAAGUUCUUGCCACAAAGCUUUUGAUUGAUUGACAUAUUCAGUAACUGUUUUACUUCCUUAUUUUGCAGCAAUCGUCUUCACCUUAACCUCAUAUACUUGAGCCACAUCUCUAGCUUUUGAAUACGUCUGUUGGAUUGCGUCCCAAAUAUCCUUAGUCGUAGCCAAGAACAUACAUGUGUUACUAAUCUCAGGAGUCAUAGAAUUCCAUAGCCACGCCAUAAUAAUAGAAUCUUCUUCAUCCCAUGCUUUAAAACGGGGAUCUCCUGGUUUUGACCUUAUACCCAUAAGAUGGUUGAUCUUCCUUUUCCCUUUCAGCACAGUGCGAACAAGUUGAGACCAUUUAAGGUAAUUUUUUCGAUCCAACCUAUACACAGCCUGAAUGUUUUGCAAUUCCCUAGGUUGUUGAGAUCGAACAAUCUCCUCCGGUUGUGUUGUAGUAGUCGUCUGAAAAAUCUGAUCUCUUGGGAAUUAAGGCAGAUCGCAAAACAAAAAACCAGCAGUAAUGAAACUGGUAAAAGAACAUGUGAAAUACUCUGUUUUGCCUUCAGAAAUAGAGCAAAAUAAUGCAGAGAAAGAAAACAUGAAUAUAAAAAAUCUAGCUAUGAAGGCAAAAAAAAUGGUGAUGAAGGCCAGAAUGAUGCCAAGGUUUUAAAAACUUACUACUCUGAUACCAUGUCACGAAAUAUGGGAUUACAAGAGCCAUAA